rnacentral:rRNA from 1 species
UCAAGCUACUAAGAGCGUAGAGUGGAUGCCUUGGCACCGAGAGCCGAUGAAGGACGUGAUAAGCUGCGAAAAGCUACGGGGAGUUGCAAAUAAACUUUGAUCCGUAGAUGUCCGAAUGGGGAAACCCGGCUGUGCAAACCACAGUCAUCAUACAGCCAAUCCAUAACUGUAUGAAGGGAACGCUGGGAACUGAAACAUCUAAGUACCAGCAGGAGGAGAAAGAAACAUCGAUUUCCUAAGUAGCGGCGAGCGAAAGGGAAACAGGCCAAACCAAAGUACUUGUACUUUGGGGUUGCGGACUGCGUUGUGGCAAGAUAAAGGAUAGUCGAAGCGUUUGGAAAGACGCAUCAUAGAGGGUGAUAAUCCCGUAGACGAAAUCCGAUUGAAGCCUAGCAGGAUCCAGAGUACCACGAGACACGAGAAACCUUGUGGGAAGCCGGGGGGACCACCCCCCAAGCCUAAAUACUCCUCGGUGACCGAUAGCGUAUAGUACUGUGAAGGAAAGGUGAAAAGAACCCCGGGAGGGGAGUGAAAAAGAACCUGAAACUCUAUGUUUACAAGCAGUGGAAGCACCAUACGAGUGCGACCGCGUACUUUUUGUAGAACGGUCCGGCGAGUUAUUCGUAGUGGCAAGGUUAAGUACCAGAAGGUACGAAGCCGAAGGGAAACCAAGUCUGAAUAGGGCGAGUUUAGUCGCUGCGAAUAGACCCGAAACCGGGUGACCUACCCAUGGUCAGGAUGAAGUUACCGUAAAAGGUAAUGGAGGUCCGAACUCACAUCUGUUGAAAAAGGUGGAGAUGAACUGUGGGUAGCGGAGAAAUUCCAAUCGAACCCGGAGAUAGCUGGUUCUCCUCGAAAUAGCUUUAGGGCUAGCGUUGUUAGGAGUCUAAUGGAGGUAAAGCACUGAAUUCCCUAGGGGGCCCACAAGCUUACCGAAGGAUAUCAAACUCAGAAUGCCAUAAAGAUACCAACAGCAGUCAGACUACGAGUGAUAAGACACGUGGUCAAAAGGGAAAGAGCCCAGACCAUCAGCUAAGGUCCCCAAGUGUAUGUUAAGUGGAAAAGGAUGUGAGAUUUCGAAGACAACUAGGAUGUUGGCUUAGAAGCAGCCAUACAUUCAAAGAGUGCGUAAUAGCUCACUAGUCGAGAGAUCUUGCGCCGAAAAUGUCCGGGGCUAAAACAUACCACCGAAGCUAUGGAAUCAUCUAGUAUGAUUGGUAGAGGAGCGUUGCAUCGGCGCAGAAGCAGUACCGGAAGGAGCUGUGGAGCUUAUGCAAGUGAGAAUGCCGGAAUGAGUAGCGAGAUAGAAGUGAGAAUCUUCUAGGCCGAAUAUCCAAGGUUUCCAGGGUAAAGCUGAUCUGCCCUGGGUAAGUCGGGACCUAAGGCGAGGACGAAAGUCGUAGUCGAUGGACAACUGGUUGAAAUUCCAGUACCACCUAUUAUCAGAACUGCAGGGACGCAGAAGGAUAGGGAAGGCGCAGAAUGGAAAGCUGCGUGCAAGCACAAAGUCGCAUCUGGUAGGCAAAUCCGCCAGACGAGGAUGAAGUGUGAUGCGGAUCGAAAUACAAGUAGAGAAGUUCCUGAAUCCACACUGCCGAGAAAAGCUGCUAUUGCGUGAUAGGUGCCCGUACCGUAAACCGACACAGGUGGAUGAGGAGAGAAUCCUAAGGCCGACGGGAGAAGCGUUGUUAAGGAACUCGGCAAAAUGACCCCGUAACUUAGGGAGAAGGGGUGCCUGCUUAACGGCAGGCCGCAGAGAAUAGGCCCAAGCAACUGUUUAACAAAAACACAGGUCUUUGCUAAACCGAAAGGUGAUGUAUAAGGGCUGACGCCUGCCCGGUGCUGGAAGGUUAAGGGGAGAGGUUAGGAGUAAUCCGAAGCUUUGAACUUAAGCCCCAGUAAACGGCGGCCGUAACUAUAACGGUCCUAAGGUAGCGAAAUUCCUUGUCAGGUAAGUUCU